rnacentral:rRNA from 1 species
UUUAUGGAGAGUUUGAUCCUGGCUCAGAGUGAACGCUGGCGGCGUGCCUAAUACAUGCAAGUCGAACGAUGAAGCUUCUAGCUUGCUAGAAUGCUGAUUAGUGGCGCACGGGUGAGUAACGCAUAGGUCAUGUGCCUCUUAGUUUGGGAUAGCCAUUGGAAACGAUGAUUAAUACCAGAUACUCCCUAUGGGGGAAAGAUUUAUCGCUAAGAGAUCAGCCUAUGUCCUAUCAGCUUGUUGGUAAGGUAAUGGCUUACCAAGGCUAUGACGGGUAUCCGGCCUGAGAGGGUGAACGGACACACUGGAACUGAGACACGGUCCAGACUCCUACGGGAGGCAGCAGUAGGGAAUAUUGCUCAAUGGGGGAAACCCUGAAGCAGCAACGCCGCGUGGAGGAUGAAGGUUUUAGGAUUGUAAACUCCUUUUGUUAGAGAAGAUAAUGACGGUAUCUAACGAAUAAGCACCGGCUAACUCCGUGCCAGCAGCCGCGGUAAUACGGAGGGUGCAAGCGUUACUCGGAAUCACUGGGCGUAAAGAGCGCGUAGGCGGGAUAGUCAGUCAGGUGUGAAAUCCUAUGGCUUAACCAUAGAACUGCAUUUGAAACUACUAUUCUAGAGUGUGGGAGAGGUAGGUGGAAUUCUUGGUGUAGGGGUAAAAUCCGUAGAGAUCAAGAGGAAUACUCAUUGCGAAGGCGACCUGCUAGAACAUUACUGACGCUGAUUGCGCGAAAGCGUGGGGAGCAAACAGGAUUAGAUACCCUGGUAGUCCACGCCCUAAACGAUGGAUGCUAGUUGUUGGAGGGCUUAGUCUCUCCAGUAAUGCAGCUAACGCAUUAAGCAUCCCGCCUGGGGAGUACGGUCGCAAGAUUAAAACUCAAAGGAAUAGACGGGGACCCGCACAAGCGGUGGAGCAUGUGGUUUAAUUCGAAGAUACACGAAGAACCUUACCUAGGCUUGACAUUGAGAGAAUCCGCUAGAAAUAGUGGAGUGUCUAGCUUGCUAGACCUUGAAAACAGGUGCUGCACGGCUGUCGUCAGCUCGUGUCGUGAGAUGUUGGGUUAAGUCCCGCAACGAGCGCAACCCCCUUUCUUAGUUGCUAACAGGUUAUGCUGAGAACUCUAAGGAUACUGCCUCCGUAAGGAGGAGGAAGGUGGGGACGACGUCAAGUCAUCAUGGCCCUUACGCCUAGGGCUACACACGUGCUACAAUGGGGUGCACAAAGAGAAGCAAUACUGCGAAGUGGAGCCAAUCUUCAAAACACCUCUCAGUUCGGAUUGUAGGCUGCAACUCGCCUGCAUGAAGCUGGAAUCGCUAGUAAUCGCAAAUCAGCCAUGUUGCGGUGAAUACGUUCCCGGGUCUUGUACUCACCGCCCGUCACACCAUGGGAGUUGUGUUUGCCUUAAGUCAGGAUGCUAAAUUAGCUACUGCCCACGGCACACACAGCGACUGGGGUGAAGUCGUAACAAGGUAACCGUAGGUGAACCUGCGGUUGGAUCACCUCCUUU